CGGAGUGUAGCUCAGAUGGCUAGAGUGCGGCGUUCGGAACGCCGAGGUCGCAGGUUCAAGUCCUGUCACUCCGA
rnacentral:tRNA from 2 species